UUCGGUGUAGCUCAAUUGGCAGAGCGGCGACCUGUUAAGUCGUUGGUUGAAGGUUCGAGUCCUUCCACCGGAGCCA
rnacentral:tRNA from 1 species